rnacentral:rRNA from 1 species
UACGGGGGGGGCAAGCGUUGUUCGGAAUUACUGGGCGUAAAGGGCUCGUAGGUGGCCAACUAAGUCAGACGUGAAAUCCCUCGGCUUAACCGGGGAACUGCGUCUGAUACUGGAUGGCUUGAGUUCGGGAGAGGGAUGCGGAAUUCCAGGUGUAGCGGUGAAAUGCGCAGAUAUCAGGAAGAACACCCGUGGCGAAAGCGGCUCUCUGGAACGGUACUGACGCUGAGACGCGAAAGCGUGGGGAGCGAACAGGG